AAGAAAUAAUCGAAGAGAAGAAAAAAUACACUGCCAGUGAUACGCACCAACAGUGCCUCUUUUUUCGAUUUCUAUUUCUUCUUCUUCUUCUUCUUCUUUUACUACUUUUUAAACUUCAUAUUAUUUUUUCCGUUUCCUCGUAUUUUUAU
rnacentral:ribozyme from 1 species